rnacentral:tRNA from 2 species
GUCCCCUUCGUCUAGUGGUAAGGACUCAGGAUUUUCAAUCCUGCAACACGGGUUCGAACCCCGUAGGGGACG